UUUAACCGGCAGUUCUAGCUUGACCCUCAGUGUUUAUCUAAAGUGGCACAGUGCCAAUCUUUGGCAUCUACUUUUCCUAUCAGCUGAGAACUGUGCUUAAUGACGUCUUGGCUUAUGGUAUUUUGCAAUUGCUGCAGAUGAAGGAGGAAGUUGGGACUCCAGUUUAAAGUUUCCGAUUCUGGCCCAACUUAGCAGGGAAAAUUAACUGAUACAACUCCAUUAUGAUUAACAGGUCAAAUUUUGCAUUGGUGAGGAAUGUAUUCCAUCGUCUGAAAACAUCUGACAACAACAGCUCUAUAAACUAACCAUAAGAGCAAAGCUUGUUCUAUGUCCAAUGAUAACAGUUUUUGUUUUAUUGUUUUAGGAAGUACUUGUCAGUAAAGACUGGGCCACUAUUGAAAGGAAGGUUUGAGCUCUUGACUUCUGAGUGCAAAGUCAUCAACAAAACAGGUGUGGUUGCCUCAAUCCAUUAGAUCCCCAAUUGUUAAUGGUUUCAUCUUCUACGGUGGCUUCUCACCAGCCACCCUGCCACUUCAAACAAAAUCGCCCAGGUACAUUAAGACCAUACCAUUCUACUGUUACUCAGGAUUUCACUGCUCUUCAUUUACAAGAUAUUUCCAGUGAAGAUUUCCCACUAACAUUUGAAAGCACUCUGCACGCAAAAUGCAUAAAACAAAUGUGUUGCCAACAAAAGUGGUAACUCUGAAAUGCCCAACAUCCAUAUUGAGGAAGAGAUCCAAGUUGACAAGAUAUCAAGAUUCUGUUUCUCACAGAACAAAAUCUGAAAGAAGAGUUCGCUUUCAAGAAUCAGAAGAGAUAAUUUUUCACACAACUGAAGGUAAUUCCCAUUUGCCAGCAGUGUUUUGGAAAUUAUUGGUCAUCAUUUUGCUGAGUCUGGUGAUCAUUUUGCUCCAUUAUAAUGAAAGAGCAUCAAAUAUGUUUGAACAACUUCAUUCAAAACUCAUCAGUUAUUGCCUGGAAAUAAAACAUACAACUUCCAGCUGGUUGAAUCGGAAUAGAAAACAUUAGAAUAUCCACAAAUGUCAGGAACAUCAGACAAACUAACUUCAGCAGAAAAACCUUCAACAGCAAACAUGAAAACAUCUGCCUUAAGCAACUUUUUAAGUGGAAGAAGAUGAAGACUUAAAUUGAAAGAAGAAACAGCUAUGAAAGUAAUGUCUGUCGAUGGGAAUUUGGAAAACUUUAAAACCACUGCUUUAUUUUGUUUUGUUUUCAAAUAUUUUAUAAUUCAUUCAAAUCACAGAUUAUUUCACACCAACAUCUAAUGUAAUUCCCAUACCAGAAUCAAAUCCAUGUGAGAUAUAUCAUGGUGUGAAGUGGACUAGUAUGAAAUAUCUUACCGCUUUAUUUCAAUACGGCUGGAAAAUUAUUGUUAAAAUUAAAUGAUCUUUCCCAAUCUAAGUUAGUAGUUUAUAGCUACAAAUCUAAAACUUAUUUAUUUUGUCUUUCGUUGUAUUGGAAGUGUACUGUCUGUUCCCAGUACGGAACAUUGUACUUUUGAGUGCCCGAAGGAUUCAGAUCAUCAUACAGCCUGAAGGUUCAAAACCAGAUUAUUGCUGAAUAUAUCCUGAAUGAAUCCCGUUGUAGAAAACAAACAUGCAACGUCACUACCGCAAAAGUGGGGCGGAUGUGUGAACUGCAAGAAGGUUGAGAUCUUCUUGACUUUUAACUUUGCUUCUGGCUAUUAAUAUCACUAGGAAUUUUCUUUUUAAACCAGCUGAUAACUUUAAAAGAUAUUACUAGAUGAAAUUUAUGGCUUUAGAGGGAAAGUUCAAAUUAAAUUUAUUAUCAAAGUGCAUUAAGGGUACCAUAUAUUACAUCGAGAUUCACUUUUCUUGCAGAUAGAAAAACUGAAAUGCAAUAGCUUUUCAAAAAACAAUGCAUAAACAAAGACUAACAACCAAUGUGCAAAGCAGUUAUUGUCAUGAUAAAAACAAACACUUGAAUAGAGGAAGGAACCAAAACACAAGUAAGCUUAGAGCAGUUUAUUAUUACUAAUGAGCAUUCAAAAUAUUGAACAAUUGUUAAAAGGAAAAUAUUUUGCUCUAAAUUUCUGCUGGAUAUUUGAGCUAAACACAUAAUAUAAUUAUAGCUCUAAAUUCUACAUACUGAUAAGGUAAUUAAAGUUUCAGCCAUUGCCUCUAUUUGCACAGUUUGAGAGUUUGGAGAUAAGAUUCAUUUUCAUAAACAGUAUUUUCAGGACUUGAGCAAUCUUGCUACUAAGAGAUGGGGUGCAAAUGAGGAACGAAAGGUAUAAAAAUAAAAACACUAGAAAUAAUUUAAUUUGACUAUGCAGAAACGCAAAGGCAUUUUUAAUAUUUUCAAUACAGUAUAACUUAGAAUAAAAUGUGGUUCCAAAUUUCUAUUUUUAAAUUAUUAGUUCAUGUGCCAUCUCAAAUCAGCAGAUGCAUUUAAUUACCUUCAUUUGGAUUAUUACGAUUACUCAAUCUGACCAUUAUUCAUUUAAAAGUAUACUGUAUUACAGGUUUGAAAAGAGAAGUAUGCCACCAUUCCUAUUAUUGAUUCAAUAAUGAGCUAAUAUUAUUAGAGUCAUUAUUACCAAUGGACCUGCGUUAUUUAUUAACCGUGAUUGUACUAUUAAGCUUUGUUAUGACUCAGAGUGAGAUCUUGGAACUUCUGCCCCUGCACAAGCAUCUUUAGCUUCAUUUGGGAGCAGCUAUCUUAACUGUCAAAUGUUAUUCAUUCUGUUUAGAUAGCAGAUAUGUUCCGAUGAAUUAUUUUGGGACAUGAUUAAACCAGAAGCUGGGAAACCCAGAGGUGAGAAAAACAGCCAAUAGAUGAAGGUUACAUUUCAGACCAAUGACUUUUCAUCAUGAUUAAUGAAAGCUCUUUGACUGGAAGUAUUAGCUCUCCUUUACUCUGCAAACAUGCUGUCUGACCUGCUGAGUGUUUCCAGUGUUUUCUGUACUAUUUUGGGUUUCCUGCAUUCCAGAGUUUUACGUUCUGUUCAUUAAAACACUGUACUUAAAUGAAUCUGGCAAAAGCUGAAACAAAUUUCCUCUUUUCCUCAUUAUUUACUCAAAUAACUUGUUAAAACAAUGUAACCAUAAUGAUACAAGAACCCUGGUGCAUCUCGGAGCCAUAGCACACUACAGCACAGAAACUGGUUCCUCGGCUUAUCUAGUCUGUGCUGAACUGUUGCUCUGCCUAGUCCGAUCGACCCACACAUGGACCAUAGACAUUCAUACCCCUCCCAUUCAUGUACUUAUGCACAUUUAUAUUAAAUGUUGAAAUCAAAAUCACAUCCAUCACUUCCACUAGCAGCUCAUGCUACACUCUCAUCACCUUCUGAGUGAAGAAGUUCCCCCUCAGGUAUCCUUUAAACAUUACGCCUUUGAAGCUUAACCCAUGACAUCUCAUUCUAGUCUCAUCCAACCUUGGUAGAAAAACCCUGCUUGCAUUUACCCUGUCUAUACCCCUCAUAAUUUUGUAUACCUUUAUCAAAUCUCUCCUCAUUCUCCUACACUCCAGGGAAUGAAGUUGUAACCUGUUCAAUCUUUCCCUAUAACUCCAGUCCUGAAGUCCUGGCAACAUCUUGUCAAUUUUCAGAAUCAGAAUCAAAUCAGGUUUAUUACCACCGGCAUGUGUCGUGAAAUUUGUCAACUUAGCAGAAGCAGUUCAAUGCAAUACAUAAUAUAGAAGAAAAAAAAAAUUUAAAAUAAAUAAAUUAAUUAAUCAAUUACGCUAUAUGCAUAUUGAAUAGAUUAAAAAUUGUGCAAAAACAGAAAUAAUAUAUAUUAACAAAGUGAGGUAGUGUUCAUGGGUUCAAGGUCCAUUUAGGAAUCAGAUGGCAUAGAGGAAGAAGCUGUUCCUGAAUCGCUGAGUGUGUACCUUCAGACUUCUGUACCUCCUACCUGAUGGUGACAUUGAGAAUAAGGGCACGCCCUGGGUGCUGGGGUUCCUUAAUAAUGGACGCUGCAUUUCUGAAACACAGCUCCUUGAAGACGUCCUGGGUUCUUCGUAGGCUAGUACCCAAGAUGGAGCCGACUAAAUUUAUGACCCUCUGCAGUUUCUUUCGGUCCUGUGCAGUAGCAUACCAAAUCUCCUCAAGCUCCUAAUGAAGUAUAGUCACUGUCUUGUCUUCUUUAGAACUGCAUCGAUAUGUUGGGACCAGGUUAGAUCCUCAGAGAUCUUGACACCCAGGAACUUGAAACUGCUCACUCUCUCCACUUCUGAUCCCUCUAUGAGGAUUGGUAUGUGUUCCUUUGUCCUCACCUUCCUGAAGUCCACAAUCAGCUCUUUCGUCUUAUUGACAUUGAGUGCAAGGUUGUUGCAGCAACACCACUCCACUCUUUUCCAUCCGAGACUCUACCAACAAUGGUUGUAUCAUCAGCAAAUUUAUAGAUGACAUUUGAGCUAUACCUAGCCACACAAUCAUGGAUAAAGAGAGAGUAGAGCAGUGGGCUAAGUACACGUCUCUGAGGUACACAAGUGUUGAUCAUCAGCAAGGAGGAGAUAAUAUCACCAAUCUGCACAGAUUGUGGUCUUCUGGUUAGGAAGUCAAGGAUCCAAUUGCAGAGGGAGGUACAGAGGGCCAGAUUCUGUAACUUAUCAAUCAGGAUCAUGGGAAUGAUGGUGUUAAAUGCUGAGCUAUAGUCGAUGAACACAUCCUGACAUAGGUGUUUGUAUUUUUCUAGACUUUUUCAAUCUUAUUAAUAUCUUUCCUGUAGGUAGAUGACCAGAACUGCAUACAAUUCUCCAAAUGAGGUCUUACCAAUGUCUCAUACAACUUCACAUAACAUCCCAACUCCUGUACGCAACACUUUGAUUUAUAAAGACCAAUGUCCAAAAGCUCUAUUUACGAUCCUAUAUACCUGUGAUGACACUUUCAAGGAAUUAUGGAUCUGUAUUCCCAGAUCCCUCGGUUUUAGGGCACUGUGUAAGCCCUACCUUGGUUUGCCCUCCCAAAGAGAAACACCUCAUGCUUGUCUGCAUUAAAUACCAUCUACCAUUUUUCAGACUAAUUUUCCAGCUAGUCCAGAUUUUAAAGAUUUUUUUUCUGUUUAUGCCUUUCUUUCAAUAAUUGACUGUGAUAGCUAGUAUGUCUAUGAUCUUCAGUCUACAGCAAAGAAAAAUGUACUUGGAGCAUCUCUAGUCUUAAUUUCCAUGCAUUUUUUUGUAACCAACUAUAUACUCAUUAUUCAGGAUAUCUCCCUAACAGGUCUGCAUAGAAAAAAUAACCAUAUCCACUGACCCAUGCCUUAAUGCUUAAUUUCACUGAAUGGGACAAAAGUCGUAUUAGCAUCCUAUUAAUUCAAAGAAAGUAAAGCGUAAGAUAUUUAACUAAAAGCAUCAGUGAAAGCUGAUUACUUCCAUCUAGUUAGAAAUGCAGCUGACUGAAAUUUCAAUUUAAAAUUUUUUAAAAAUUGAAGUGGUUUAUUAGGCACAAUUAUGAUACUGGCUUAAAGUCACUACUGUAUAUGUUCGUAGUGGUUAUUUCGUGUUCAUUUUAAAAUCAUCUAACUAUCCUGGAGCAAAAGAUGCCUUAACUUAAAAACACAAUGUGUGUCCUAUUGAUACAAAACCAGCAUACACAACGCUUCCAUAUCUCUUGAUACCUGUAUGUCAUUUAUAGUCUACCAUAUAUUCAAUCUUAUCUUGGGUAUCAUCAUAGAUAAGCUGAAAUUUGCAGGAAUAAAAAUGAGAUCUGAUUUUAACCUUGUUCCAAUGUUUAGAAAUAAUUAGCUAUUUUUGAUUAAAAUACACCUGAAUCUUCCAUAAGUAAGGGCAUUUUGAUAAAGGGAUGUGUUAUCGCAAAUGUAGCAAAUAUUAUGCUUAUAUAACUGAUGUUUGUGAAUUGUUUUCUUAUAUUGUGUUGAGUUCCAAUUUUUGUUUUUACCAUGAUUAAUUCAACUUGUUGUCCACAUAGAUCAUUCAAUGAAAGCAUAAAGACAGAUCAUUAAGUUUAGCUUGACUAAUUACUUUAUUGGUCAUAUGUUGUAAAAAUCUAAGCCUGAAAACAAUACUAAAAUGAACAUCAAUACAAUGCUAAGUUAUCACUUUUUAUUUGGAGAACUAACAUGGGACUAGUUCUAAAUUCUAGUAUUGUGCAAGGUUCACAAUUCGUUGUGGCAUUUCCUGGGGGUCACUGUUUAAAAAUAAAGGGCCAUGACAGCAAAGAGGUUAAAAAAAAUCUUUGAGAGGGCUGUGCACCUUUAGAACACUGUCUCUAUCCUUUGAGGAAGUAUGUCUUUAAAUAUUUCUAAAGCAAAAGUGGAUAAUUUCUCACCCCAUUGUUUAUCAAGACUUUAUCAGAAUAGGUGAGGUUAGGUGUUUGCUGCUUGUAAAGCUACUUAUACAUAAAAAUAAUGGCAAGGUAGCAUAAUCUAAACAGUCUUAUAUUUUUAGAACUGUACUUACAGUAUUUUUUAGAUGCUUCCUUUAUGUUUUCAGUCCUAAAAAGUCAUUAUUGGUCAAUCUGCAUUGAAACAGGUAGGAACAGUUUCAUCUUUGGUCCAGAACCUGUCACUGGAAUGAAAUAACAUUUUGGCCAAAAUGGGCUGCCAACAAUGAGCCACUAUACUCACUACUUCCCCUUGUGUUAAGUAUAGAUAUAAACUCCUCCUUGGUCCAAAUAUAUAAGCAUUUUAAUAGACAUGGACUGCUUAAGGAUAGUCAGCAUGACUUUGUGCAUGCUAAGUCAUAUCUAAACAAUCUUAUAGAGUUUUUUGAGGAAGUUGUUAGGAAUGCAGAUGAAGGCAAGGUGCUGGGUGUUGUCUACACGGACUUUGAGUAAGGCAUUUGAUAAGGUCCCGCAUGAGAGUAGUAGUAAAGGGUUGCCUCACUGACUGGAGGCCUGUGACUAGUGGUGUGCCACAGGGAUUGGUGCUGGGUCCAAUGUUGUUCGUCAUCUAUAUCGAUAGAUUAUAGGUUAAAUGGAUCAGCAAAUUUGUAGAUGACACCAAGAUUGGUGGUGUAACGGGCAAUGAUGCAUAGAUUGCAGAGGGAUCUGCAUCAGCUGGAAAAUUGCCUGAAAAAUGACAGGUGUAAUUUAAUGCAGACAAGGGUGAGGUUUUGCACUUCAGCAGGACUAACCAGGGUAGGUCUUACACAGUGAAUGGUAGGGCACUGAGGAAUGUGGUAGAACAAAGGAAUCUGGAAAUACAGGUACAUAAUUUGUUGGAAGUGACAUCACAGGUAGACAGGGUUGUAAAGAAAGCUUUUGGCAUAUUGACCUUCAUAAAUUAAUCUGCUGAGAAGAUGGGAUGUUAUGCUGAGGUUGUAUAAGGCACAGGUGAAGCCUAAUUUGGAAUAUUGUUUACAGUAAGGGUCACGUACCUACAGGAAAAUGUAAACAAGAAUGAAAGCCUGCAGAGAAAAUUUACAAGAAUGUUAACAAGUCUGGAGGACCUGAAUUAUAAGGUUAGGACUGUAUUCUUUAGAAUGUAGAAGACUGAGAGGAGAUUUGAUAGAGGUAUACAAAAUUAUGAGGGGUAUAGAUAGGGUAAAUGCAAGCAGACUUUUUCCACUGAGUCUGGGUGGGACUACAACCAGUGGUCAUGGGUUAAGGGUGAAAGAUGAGAAGGUUAAGGGGAACUUGAUGGAAAACUUCUUCGCUCAGAGAGUCAUGAGAGUUGUAAUGAACUGCCAGCGCAGGUGGUCCAUGCGAGUUCAAUUUCAAUGUUUAAGAGAAGUUUGGAUAGAUACAUCAAUGGUUUGGAGGGCUAUGGUCCCUGUGCAGGUCGUUGGGUGUAGGCAGUUUAAAUGGUUUCAGCAUGGACUAGAUAAGCUGAAGGGCCUGAUUCUCUGCUGUACUUCUCUAUGACUUUAUGGCUCUAUAACUCUAUGACCAAUUUGGUGCCAGCACAUUGCAGCGAAGUCCAGCCAAUGAACUGAGUUUCCACCCACUGCCAUUUACCCAUAAAGCAGCAACACAACUGAGUGCAGAGCACAAAAAAAUGGGCAUUUGACUUACACAUGCAUAUACAUAGACAAGAGAUGACUGAUCUUCAUUUUAAACCAAAUUAAUAAAAGAAGAUCGUACACGUUACUUCAUGGAUAUGUGAUGCCUCCUCCCUUCCUCCAGAAUUGUCCAAACAAUACCAAAAAUACUUUACAGGGAGCUAGCACCUGCUAACCCAAUCUGUGAUGUUUGUUCUCUUUGAAAACUAUCUUCAAUUUUUAGAUCUUCCAUUGUUUUUUUCUCCUCACAUUUUAAAUCCUACUUUGGAGGUGGAAGCCUUUGCAAUAAUUUAUGCUUUGGUAGUCUGAAAGUAGUUGCAUUGUGAAAAAUUCAAAGUUUCUAGAUUAUUUUUUGGGCUUUUAAAUUGGAAGACCGAGUGAUGACUGAAAGGCUGACAGUCAGUAGAAUCCAGUCAUGCCCACAGGAAUAAAUUUCAACAGUGCUGUAUCUUUACCCAUUCAGCUGUUGAUGAGCGGAUGGGUUGUUAAAUUUCCCCUUGUCAUUCCAUGUCUUUUGUAACACCAAAUCUCUUCACCAAAAUGGCUAGUUCUGGAGAGACAACGCUGAAAAAAUGUAGUCUUGAAUAUAUAAAGAUUUGCAUUGGACUAUGCUGUAAAACUCUUAAAUAAAACCUGAAAGAUUUUAAAUAAAGUUACAGAUAUUCUAUUUACUUUCAACAAAUCAA